GCACCACUGCACUCCAACGUGGGCAACAGAAUGACACUCUGUCUUUAAAAAAAAAAAAAAUUAAAUAAGUAAAAUAAAAUGAGAAUUUACACUUUUUGUAAGGGAUGCCACUUCUGUGCACUUUUUGGUUAUCAUCUCUCAGAGACCAUUUCUCUCUGGGAGAAAAAUCUAUCAGUGUGGUAUGGGAAGUGCCCCUCUUACAGGAACUGAGUGAUGGAGGUUGUUGAAACCCUGAAACUAGAUUAUUGCUUUGUCGUGGUAACUCCGUAAUACCAUGGUGUGGUAGUUGAGAAGCUUGCCACAAAUUUGUAUCAGAAAGAAUGCUUUGUUUUAUUUGUUGAUUUUUGUCUAGCCGAACAAUGUGUUUGCCCUAUCUCUAACUGGCAGUUCCAGGAAAACUAUCCAGUUUCUGGAAAGUUACCUUUGCCACCAUUUCGUGAAGUUAUUUCCAUUUAAAUAACCUAGUCAUUGUGGAAGGGAGGAAGGGCUAAACAGUUUAAGAACUUGAACAAUUGGUGCCUCUCAAGAGUAUUACAUUGAGAAACAGUAUAGCUAACAAACAGAUUGGCUUUGGAGUCAGUUGGGCAAGUUGUGCUGUUACCAAGCUGGUUGACCUUAGGCAAAAAUAGUUAACCUCUGAACAUAACUUCUUUCAUUUUUUAGGGGGAUGAUACUUUUCAGGAUUAUUCUGACAGUUAAAUGAGGUGUAAGUGAGGUUCUAGUAUAGUCCUUGAUGUGUUUUUAUGGAUAUUAAGUGACAUUUAUUUAAGAGCAUCAUUUGUUUCUAUAGUUCUCCUGCCUCAGCCUUCUGAGUUGCUGGGACUAUAGGCAUGUGUCCCAGCAGUGUCUGGCUUCCAGUCUUUAUAUGAUUAAGGGGUAAUGAUUUUUGUGAAUUAUCUUCUCUUUCUACAUUCUCUUAUCAGCCACAAAUCUAACAAAUAUUAGCAGUUUUCUAACCCCUAAAAAUGAAAUUAUGUAAUCUAAAAAUAUAGACUAACUUCAGGAAGAAGUCCUCCUAAUACAGAUUCUGGAACUAGAUUGCCUACUUUUGAAUCCCAGCUCAGCUGGUUACAGUGAUAUCACCUUAAUUUCUGUGUGCCUCAGUUUCCUCAUCUGUAAAAUUGGGAUAAUUAUAGAUUUGAAAUACUGAUUAAAUGGGGCUGAUUUAAUAGGUGGGGAAUACUUAGACUACUGAGAACAGUACCUGACAUUUUAAUAGUAAAUACUAUAGAAAUGCUAGCAGGUAUUAUCUGAUGGGGUGAAUCUUAUUUUAUCCACAUAAAAUUUUCCCGACUUUUCCUCAAAUAUCUGAAGACUUUCUGCAUAUUCCCUUCUAGAUGAGUAUCAAAGUUGUCAAUUUUAGCAUGACUGUAAUUUAGCUUUUCUACUCUCCCCAGCCUGUUCUGGACUUCCUUGUUUUUGCUAAUUACGUCCUCAUCUUGCUAGUCACAGUACUUCAAAUCAAAGAUGGCAAAUUCUGAUGCCACAGGCAGGUAAAGUAAAUGAGUGAAGUGGACCAGGUGUAAUGCAUGUCAGGACACUGUCCAGGUCACCAGGCAUGGUCUCUAGUGUCACCCUUAAGCAACACUGACACAGUCCUCUCAGAUCUUCACCAGCAGCCCAAAUCUAGAUUUUCACACAGAAAGUUUCUUAAUUGUUUAGAGUUGAUGCAAAUUUCUCAGGUUUACUCUGUGGACCAAAUAAAUUGUGUCAGUGCCCAGAUGCAUCAGGUGGCCAGUUUGUUCCCUCAUCUCUAAGUCUUAGAAUCAUAUUUUCCUUUGCACCUCUAGACAGGAAAUUGCCAAAUAGUCUCUUGCAUCCAUAUUUUCCUCUAUGUUCUCCUAAUAUAUUGCCUCUCGACCAAAUCUUACACUUGCUAUGGCGCAAGUUUAAUCUACCGGUGAAACCUUCAAUCGAGUUACCCUUUCCUUACACCUUACGCAAAAAUGUCAGAAGUUUCAUAAUGUCUAUGCAAACAUCAAGCUCCUUAGCCCUUUUGAUCUUGACCUUGUGUCUGUUUCUGAAGUCAUGUCCUUUGCACCCUUCCUUGGAUGCAUCCUAGAUCACUUCCUGUGUCCCAUACAUGCCUGUGCUUUCCCGCUUCUUGUAGCCUCCAAGGCCUUGCUUGUGCAGAGGCAUUUAGUAGGUUUUGGUGGUUGUUGAAUGUUGGCCUCACUCUGCUUGAGGUGCCCUUUCUCAUAUUCCACAUUCUUCCUGUUUGUGAAAUUCUACUCAUGUUUCAAAGUGUCAGUUGUUGUGAAAUUCUACUCAUGUUUCAAAGUGUCAGUUGUGACUUUUUGUGCUGAGAGCUCUCUAGAUGGUAGUGAUUGUGCACUUUUGGAACGCUAAUAGUACUUUUAUUCAUUCUGGUGGGCUUUUUCACAGUUUACCUUAUUAGUCAUGUGGGUGUGUGUGUGUGCGUGUGUGUGUGUGUUGUGGGGGUUGGGGGGUGUGCAUUCUUUUCCUGCUUUAUAGUUUUAUAGGAGAAGCACUCAAAUACUCAUUGGAUCUUGGAAAGAUGACUCUUCCUUUAUUUAAGGUACAGUAUUAUGCUGACUAGUAAAAGAAUCUUGAUUCUUUGCUAAUGGGCCAAAGGCAAGUACAAGAAAAAUAGGAAAGCUAUUAUUACUGGUUUUAAUUUUGGAAUUUUUAUGCCUCUUUUUCUAUUUUUUGUUAUAUUUUUAUAUUACUAUCAUUUCUGCCCCUUAUUUGGUACUGAUGCCUCAUAUCAGGGAUAUGACGUAUACCAUAGAUAGAUCAUCAAGGGUAAGAUGUAAUAUCAGGGAAGUUAUGUCAUCUAUUCUUAGGUUCUCCACAUACUCCCAUAGUUAUUCUUUUAUUUAAUUGAUUCAAUAAAUAAUUGAUCACCUCUGGUAUGUCAGACACUUUGCAGUGUCUAGGGGUGUAGCAGUGAACAAAAUGGGCAAAAUCUUUGCUCUCAUGGAGCUUGUGGUUUAAUGAGGAAAGAUGGGCAGUAAGCAAACAUUUGCUAAGUUUGGUGGUAAAAUGUAAUUGGAAGAAAAAUAAAGUAGAUGUUAGAAUAAUAGAGGAAGAUGAAGAGGAAGUUUGUAUCCCUGCUUUUUUACAUAGGAUGGUGGUUGAGGAAGAUUUUCUCAUUAAGUUGACAUUUAGACUGAGACCUGGAUGAAAUUUCUUUACUCCAGCUAUACUGUCCUCCUUGCUAUUUCUUGUGUAUUUACAGCAAAAACGUUGUACUAAUUUAUCCCUUUGCCUAGAAUACGCUUCUGAGAGAUAGUCACAAUUUAAAUAAGUAGGGAGAAGUAUUGGGAGUUAUCAAGUGUCUUACCAGGCAAAUGGAAUUUCCUCUUCUCUUAGCGAUGGGUCUGGUUGCCACUGAAUUUUGUAGAAUUAUGUUUUCUUUAGUGAAUCACUUCUAAAAUAACAUGCAUAAUUUGUUUAAAUAUACAUGAUGUUUAGGAUAAUUUUUUUUGAAGACUUAAUGUCACCCGUUAUUUUUGGCCCACUUUUUACCUUACAGAAAUUAAAGUGGACUGUCUGUAACAAAAACUAAGUUGUCUUGGUCACUUUGGGCUGCUAGGACAGAAUACUAUAGACUGGAUGGCUGAAACAAAACAAAUUUAUUUCUUACAAUUCUGGAGGCUGGGAAGUCCAAGAUCAAGGCUGCUGAUGUCUGGUGAGGGCACGCUUCCAGCUCGCAGAUGGCUGUCUUUCAUGGUAUCUUCACAUGCUUAUGUCUCUUCUUGUAAGGGCAUUAAACCCAUUAAUAAUUACCUCCCAAAGACCACGCCCCCAAAUACCAUCACACUGGGGAUUUAAGCUUCAACAUACAAAUUUGGGGGGAUACAAACCUUCAGUUCCAUAGCAUGAGUUAUUAUAUUUUGUCAGUUGACCUAAUAAAACCUGAUAUUCUGGGUAAUAGCCUAGAGGUAAUCACAUUACUUAUUGGUAAGCUGAAAAUGAAUGACAGUUUUAUUCUAAAGCAAUUUUAAAGCAACAAUAGGCUGUUGUUUUACUUACUUCUCUGAAAACUAUACAUUUAUUGACUUUAUCUAGAAGUGCAGUAAAUAUGGAUCUCUUUAUUAAUUUUUCUCCUAAACAUACUGAAAAUAUUUUGCAUUACACCCUUAGGACUGAUUAGGUUUAUAAAGAAAAGGCAUCUGUGAAUGAAAUGCUGAAUUGCAUCUCCCAUUGGAUCAACUCAAACGAUUAUG